AGAGUUUGAUCCUGGCUCAGAUUGAACGCUGGCGGCAUGCCUUACACAUGCAAGUCGAACGGUAACGCGGGGCAACCUGGCGACGAGUGGCGAACGGGUGAGUAAUGCAUCGGAACGUGCCCAAUAGUGGGGGAUAGCCCGGCGAAAGCCGGAUUAAUACCGCAUACGACCUACGGGUGAAAGCGGGGGACUCGCAAGAGCCUCGCGCUAUUGGAGCGGCCGAUGUCAGAUUAGGUUGUUGGUGGGGUAAAAGCCUACCAAGCCGACGAUCUGUAGCUGGCCUGAGAGGACGACCAGCCACACUGGGACUGAGAUACGGCCCAGACUCCUACGGGAGGCAGCAGUGGGGAAUUUUGGACAAUGGGCGCAAGCCUGAUCCAGCCAUGCCGCGUGCGGGAAGAAGGCCUUCGGGUUGUAAACCGCUUUUGUCAGGGAAGAAACGCUCUGGGCUAAUACCCCGGGGUAAUGACGGUACCUGAAGAAUAAGCACCGGCUAACUACGUGCCAGCAGCCGCGGUAAUACGUAGGGUGCAAGCGUUAAUCGGAAUUUCUGGGCGUAAAGCGUGCGCAGGCGGUCUUGCAAGACAGAUGUGAAAUCCCCGGGCUUAACCUGGGAACUGCAUUUGUGACUGCAAGGCUGGAGUACGGUAGAGGGGGAUGGAAUUCCGCGUGUAGCAGUGAAAUGCGUAGAUAUGCGGAGGAACACCGAUGGCGAAGGCAAUCCCCUGGACCUGUACUGACGCUCAUGCACGAAAGCGUGGGGAGCAAACAGGAUUAGAUACCCUGGUAGUCCACGCCCUAAACGAUGUCAACUGGUUGUUGGGAAGGUUCCUUCUCAGUAACGUAGCUAACGCGUGAAGUUGACCGCCUGGGGAGUACGGCCGCAAGGUUGAAACUCAAAGGAAUUGACGGGGACCCGCACAAGCGGUGGAUGAUGUGGUUUAAUUCGACGCAACGCGAAAAACCUUACCUACCCUUGACAUGUCUGGAAUUUUGCAGAGAUGUGAAAGUGCUCGAAAGAGAACCAGAACACAGGUGCUGCAUGGCCGUCGUCAGCUCGUGUCGUGAGAUGUUGGGUUAAGUCCCGCAACGAGCGCAACCCUUGUCAUUAGUUGCUACGAAAGGGCACUCUAAUGAGACUGCCGGUGACAAACCGGAGGAAGGUGGGGAUGACGUCAGGUCAUCAUGGCCCUUAUGGGUAGGGCUACACACGUCAUACAAUGGCCGGUACAGAGGGCUGCCAACCCGCGAGGGGGAGCCAAUCCCAGAAAACCGGUCGUAGUCCGGAUCGCAGUCUGCAACUCGACUGCGUGAAGUCGGAAUCGCUAGUAAUCGCGGAUCAGCUUGCCGCGGUGAAUACGUUCCCGGGUCUUGUACACACCGCCCGUCACACCAUGGGAGCGGGUUCUGCCAGAAGUAGUUAGCCUAACCGCAAGGAGGGCGAUUACCACGGCAGGGUUCGUGACUGGGGUGAAGUCGUAACAAGGUA
rnacentral:rRNA from 1 species